GAAAGAAAUUAAGUGAAUUAGUGGCGAACGGGUGAGUAACACGUGAGUAACCUGCCUUACACAAGGGGAUAGCCUUUGGAAACGAAGAAUAAUACCCUAUAAAGUCAACCAAUCGCAUGAUAAGGUAGACCAAAGAUUUAUCGGUGUAAGAUGGACUUGCGCCUGAUUAGCUAGUUGGUGAGAUAAAAGCCCACCAAGGCAACGAUCAGUAGCCGGCUUGAGAGAGUGUACGGCCACAUUGGGACUGAGACACGGCCCAAACUCCUACGGGAGGCAGCAGUGGGGAAUUUUGCACAAUGGGGGAAACCCUGAUGCAGCGACGCCGCGUGAUUUAGAAGGCCUUCGGGUUGUAAAAAUCUUUUUUAUGGGAUGAAAAUGACAGUACCAUAAGAAUAAGGUCCGGCUAAAUACGUGCCAGCAGCCGCGGUAAUACGUAUGGACCGAGCGUUGUCCGGAAUCAUUGGGCGUAAAGGGUACGUAGGCGGCCUAGUAAGUUAGAAGUGAAAUAAUAUAGCUCAACUAUAUAAAGCUUUUAAAACUGCUAAGCUUGAGAGAUGAAAGGGAAAGUGGAAUUCCUAGUGUAGCGGUGAAAUGCGCAGAUAUUAGGAAGAAUACCAGUGGCGAAGGCGACUUUCUGGUCAUCA
rnacentral:rRNA from 2 species